GCUAAACGCGAAGAACCUUACCAAGGCUUGACAUAUACGAGAACGCUGCAGAAAUGUAGAACUCUUUGGACACUCGUAAACAGGUGGUGCAUGGUUGUCGUCAGCUCGUGUCGUGAGAUGUUGGGUUAAGUCCCGCAACGAGCGCAACCCUCGUUCUAUGUUGCCAGCACGUAAUGGUGGGAACUCAUGGGAUACUGCCGGGGUCAACUCGGAGGAAGGUGGGGAUGACGUCAAAUCAUCAUGCCCCUUAUGUCUUGGGCUUCACGCAUGCUACAAUGGCCGGUACAAAGGGCUGCAAUACCGCAAGGUGGAGCGAAUCCCAAAAAGCCGGUCUCAGUUCGGAUUGAGGUCUGCAACUCGACCUCAUGAAGUCGGAGUCGCUAGUAAUCGCAGAUCAGCAACGCUGCGGUGAAUACGUUCCCGGGUCUUGUACACACCG
rnacentral:rRNA from 1 species